rnacentral:lncRNA from 1 species
GCAAAGAUGUCCUUAAAACAAGGUAUGAUAAUGCACAAGAAUGGGUUUCAUGCAACUCCUAGACUUAGUGCAUACAUAUAGCAAAUAACCGAUAAUGGACACAUGAAAUAUUGACUCCAAAAUAAUAGGUAUAAUGCACCGGAGCUUGCCUUGUUCGCUAAAAAAGUUAGCACUGUCCGAAGGGUUGGCCUCGCAGGGGACCAAUUCAAAGACUUCC